CUGACGUUGAGGCACGAAAGUGUGGGGAGCAAACAGGAUUAGAUACCCUGGUAGUCCACACUGUAAACGAUGGAUACUAGGUGUAGGGGGUAUUAAGCCUUCUGUGCCGUCGCUAACGCAGUAAGUAUCCCACCUGGGGAGUACGACCGCAAGGUUGAAACUCAAAGGAAUUGACGGGGGCCCGCACAAGCAGUGGAGUAUGUGGUUUAAUUCGAAGCAACGCGAAGAACCUUACCAGGGCUUGACAUAUACAGGAAUAAUCUAGAGAUAGGUUAGCUCUUCGGAGUCUGUAUACAGGUGGUGCAUGGUUGUCGUCAGCUCGUGUCGUGAGAUGUUGGGUUAAGUCCCGCAACGAGCGCAACCCCUGUUUCUAGUUGCCAGCACGUUAAGGUGGGAACUCUAGAGAGACUGCCGUUGAUAAAACGGAGGAAGGUGGGGACGACGUCAAAUCAUCAUGCCCUUUAUGUCCUGGGCUACACACGUACUACAAUGGCUAUAACAAAGGGAAGCGAAACAGCGAUGUGAAGCGAAACUCAAAAAAGUAGUCUCAGUUCGGAUUGUAGGCUGAAAUUCGCCUACAUGAAGCCGGAAUGCUAGUAA
rnacentral:rRNA from 1 species